UUGAUCUGAUUUCAUCUCUCUAAGUUGAAGUAUUUACUUCAUACCUGAGAGUAAUCGGAUCAAAACUUCCGUUCUUGGACCCGUUUUUAUGGUACUGUUAUGUGAUGAUUGUUGGUGCAUGCUACACAUAGGAUGGACUCGUGCCUUAGCGACUUUAAAAUUUGAAAGAUAAUAGUUGUACUUAUUUGAUUGUAUUAAAACAAUGAGUUUAGCAAUUCAAUAAAAUGA
rnacentral:lncRNA from 1 species